rnacentral:rRNA from 1 species
CCUACGGGAGGCAGCAGUGGGGAAUAUUGCACAAUGGGGGAAACCCUGAUGCAGCAACGCCGCGUGAGUGAAGAAGUAUUUCGGUAUGUAAAGCUCCAUCAGCAGGGAAGAAGAUGACGGUACCUGAUUAAGAAGCCCCGGCUAACCACGUGCCAGCAGCCGCGGUAAUACGUAGGGGGCAAGCGUUAUCCGGAUUUACUGGGCGAAAAGGGUGCGUAGGUGGUUUCUUAAGUCAGAGGUGAAAGGCUACGGCUCAACCGUAGUAAGCCUUUGAAACUGGGGAACUUGAGUGCAGGAGAGGAGAGUGGAAUUCCUAGUGUAGCGGUGAAAUGCGUAGAUAUUAGGAGGAACACCAGUUGCGAAGGCGGCUCUCUGAACUGUAACUGACACUGAGGCACGAAAGCGUGGGGAGCAAACAGGAUUAGAUACCCGAGUAGUC